GAUGAACGCUGGCGGCGUGCCUAAUACAUGCAAGUCGAGCGAACAGACGAGGAGCUUGCUCCUCUGACGUUAGCGGCGGACGUGUGAGUAACACGUGGAUAACCUACCUAUAAGACUGGGAUAACUUCGGGAAACCGGAGCUAAUACCGGAUAAUAUAUUGAACCGCAUGGUUCAAUAGUGAAAGACGGUUUUGCUGUCACUUAUAGAUUGAUCCGCGCCGCAUUAGCUAGUUGGUAAGGUAACGGCUUACCAAGGCGACGAUGCGUAGCCGACCUGAGAGGGGGAUCGGACACACUGGAACUGAGACAAGGAACAGACUCCUACGGGAGGCAGCAGUAGGGAAUCUUCCGCAAUGGGCGAAAGCCUGACGGAGCAAAGCCGCGUGAGGGAUGAAGGUCUUCGGAUCGUAAAACUCUGUUAUGAGGGAAGAACAAAUGUGUAAGUAACUAUGCACGUAUUGACGGUACCUAAUCAGAAAGCCACGGCUAACUACGUG
rnacentral:rRNA from 1 species